rnacentral:rRNA from 1 species
CCUACGGGAGGCAGCAGUGGGGAAUAUUGGACAAUGGGCGCAAGCCUGAUCCAGCCAUGCCGCGUGGAUGAUGAAGGCCUUAGGGUUGUAAAGUCCUUUCGGCGGGGAAGAUAAUGACGGUACCCGCAGAAGAAGCCCCGGCUAACUUCGUGCCAGCAGCCGCGGUAAU